ACCUUAUCAAGAGUGGCGGAGGGAUCGGCCCGAUGAAGCCACGGCAACCUGCGAAGCAAGGUGCCAAAUCCGGCGUAUGCUGAGUGCGGAAGUGAUAGUCCCGCAUUCGUCCUUCGACAGAUGAGGA
rfam:Firmicutes bacterium CAG:83 genomic scaffold, scf18